AGAGGUAGAUCAGAGACAGGUGUCGUGAGGCAUGCUGGAGGUAUCAGAAGUGCGAAUGCUGACAUAAGUAACGAUAAAGCGGGUGAAAAGCCCGCUCGCCGGAAGACCAAGGGUUCCUGUCCAACGUUAAUCGGGGCAGGGUGAGUCGACCCCUAAGGCGAGGCCGAAAGGCGUAGUCGAUGGGAAACGGGUUAAUAUUCCCGUACUUGGUGUUACUGCGAAGGGGGGACGGAGAAGGCUAUGUUGGCCGGGCGACGGUUGUCCCGGUUUAAGCGUGUAGGUGUGUGUUCCAGGUAAAUCCGGUUCACUUUAACACUGAGGCGUGACGACGAGGCACUACGGUGCUGAAGCAACAAAUGCCCUGCUUCCAGGAAAAGCCUCUAAGCAUCAGGUAACAUCAAAUCGUACCCCAAACCGACACAGGUGGUCAGGUAGAGAAUACCAAGGCGCUUGAGAGAACUCGGGUGAAGGAACUAGGCAAAAUGGUGCCGUAACUUCGGGAGAAGGCACGCUGACACGUAGGUGAAGUGAUUUACUCAUGGAGCUGAAGUCAGUCGAAGAUACCAGCUGGCUGCAACUGUUUAUUAAAAACACAGCACUGUGCAAACACGAAAGUGGACGUAUACGGUGUGACGCCUGCCCGGUGCCGGAAGGUUAAUUGAUGGGGUCAGCGCAAGCGAAGCUCCUGAUCGAAGCCCCGGUAAACGGCGGCCGUAACUAUAACGGUCCUAAGGUAGCGAAAUUCCUUGUCGGGUAAGUUCCGACCUGCACGAAUGGCGUAAUGAUGGCCAGGCUGUCUCCACCCGAGACUCAGUGAAAUUGAACUCGCUGUGAAGAUGCAGUGUACCCGCGGCAAGACGGAAAGACCCCGUGAACCUUUACUAUAGCUUGACACUGAACAUUGAGCCUUGAUGUGUAGGAUAGGUGGGAGGCUUUGAAGUGUGGACGCCAGUCUGCAUGGAGCCGACCUUGAAAUACCACCCUUUAAUGUUUGAUGUUCUAACGUGGACCCGUUACCCGGGUUGCGGACAGUGUCUGGUGGGUAGUUUGACUGGGGCGGUCUCCUCCUAAAGAGUAACGGAGGAGCACGAAGGUUGGCUAAUCCUGGUCGGACAUCAGGAGGUUAGUGCAAUGGCAUAAGCCAGCUUGACUGCGAGCGUGACGGCGCGAGCAGGUGCGAAAGCAGGUCAUAGUGAUCCGGUGGUUCUGAAUGGAAGGGCCAUCGCUCAACGGAUAAAAGGUACUCCGGGGAUAACAGGCUGAUACCGCCCAAGAGUUCAUAUCGACGGCGGUGUUUGGCACCUCGAUGUCGGCUCAUCACAUCCUGGGGCUGAAGUAGGUCCCAAGGGUAUGGCUGUUCGCCAUUUAAAGUGGUACGCGAGCUGGGUUUAGAACGUCGUGAGACAGUUCGGUCCCUAUCUGCCGUGGGCGCUGGAGAACUGAGGGGGGCUGCUCCUAGUACGAGAGGACCGGAGUGGACGCAUCACUGGUGUUCGGGUUGUCAUGCCAAUGGCACUGCCCGGUAGCUAAAUGCGGAAGAGAUAAGUGCUGAAAGCAUCUAAGCACGAAACUUGCCCCGAGAUGAGUUCUCCCUGAGACUUAGAGUCUCCUGAAGGAACGUUGAAGACGACGACGUUGAUAGGCCGGGUGUGUAAGCGCAGCGAUGCGUUGAGCUAACCGGUACUAAUGAACCGUGAGGCUUAACCUU
rnacentral:rRNA from 1 species